CGACUGCUAAGACUGGAUAGGAGACUAGAAGGCAUCUUCUUAUUUUUAAAAGACCUAGCAAUAGGUAUGCUUAAGGAGGGGCUUGCGUCACAUUAGUUAGUUGGUAGGGUAAAAGCCUACCAAGACGAUGAUGUGUAGCCGGGCUGAGAGGUUGAACGGCCACAUUGGAACUGAGACACGGUCCAAACUCCUACGGGAGGCAGCAGUAGGGAAUUUUCGGCAAUGGAGGAAACUCUGACCGAGCAACGCCGCGUGAACGAUGAAGUAUUUCGGUAYGUAAAGUUCUUUUAUUAAGGAAGAAAAGAUGGUGGAAAAACCAUUAUGACGGUACUUAAUGAAUAAGCCCCGGCUAACUAUGUGCCAGCAGCCGCGGUAAUACAUAGGGGGCGAGCGUUAUCCGGAAUUAUUGGGCGUAAAGGGUGCGUAGGCGGUUUAAUAAGUUUAUGGUCUAAGUGCAAUGCUUAACAUUGUGAUGCUAUAAAAACUGUUUUACUAGAGUUGGAUAGAGGCAAGUGGAAUUCCAUGUGUAGUGGUAAAAUGCGUAAAUAUAUGGAGGAACACCAUGAGCGAAGGCGGCUUGCUGGGUCUUAACUGACGCUGAGGCACGAAAGCGUGGGGAGCAAACAGGAUUAGAUACCCUGGUAGUCCACGCCGUAAACGAUGAGUACUAGACAUUGGGUUAAACCAGUGUCGAAGUUAACACAUUAAGUACUCCGCCUGAGUAGUACGUACGCAAGUAUGAAACUUAAAGGAAUUGACGGGACUCCGCACAAGCGGUGGAUCAUGUUGUUUAAUUCGAAGGUACCCGAAAAACCUUACCAGGUCUUGACAUGCUUCUGCAAAGUUGUAGAAAUACAGCGGAGGUUAUCAGUUGCACAGGUGGUGCAUGGUUGUCGUCAGCUCGUGUCGUGAGAUGUUGGGUUAAGUCCCGCAACGAGCGCAACCCUUGUUGUUAAUUGCCAUCAUUAAGUUGGGGACUUUAGCAAGACUGCCAGUGAUAAAUUGGAGGAAGGUGGGGACGACGUCAAAUCAUCAUGCCCCUUAUGACCUGGGCUACAAACGUGAUACAAUGGCUGUUACAAAGGGUAGCUGAAGCGCAAGCUUUUGGCAAAUCUCAAAAAAACAGUCUCAGUUCGGAUUGAAGUCUGCAACUCGACUUUAUGAAGUUGGAAUCGCUAGUAAUCGCGAAUCAGCAUGUCGCGGUGAAUACGUUCUCGGGGUUUGUACACACCGCCC
rnacentral:rRNA from 1 species